ensembl:lncRNA
GUGACCACCUAGCCUGCGGCCAGAUCGCAGGAGGACCCGGGCUGCCUGCCUCGCCAUCCACUCUCACCUGAGCGAAGAAGGAAGCCCCAGGGCAGGGGCUGUCACCGUCCAGCGCCUCACUGUCACUCUCAGGGGCGGCAAGGCAAGAUAACUAUGGCCCAACAAAGCACAGCAAGCAGUAUGCAGGAGCCUGGUCACACUCAGGAGAGCUUAUUAUUAAAUGCCCAAGGAAUUUGCAAUUCAGUUGUUUAACCAGUCAUAGCUUGAAAUCAGCCUGGUGAACUGUGAACUUCCAGAUGUUCAAGCUGGUUUUAGAAAAGGCAGAGGAACCAGAGAUCAAAUUGGCAACAUUCACUGGAUCAUCGAAAAAGCAAGAGU